rnacentral:rRNA from 1 species
UACAGAGGGUGCGAGCGUUGUUCGGAAUUAUUGGGCGUAAAGGGCGCGUAGGCGGUGCGGUAAGUCACCUGUGAAAGCCCCCGGCUCAACCGGGGAAUUGCGCCCUAAACUGGCGAGCUGGAGUGAGAUAGGGGUGUGUGGAACUUCCGGUGGAGCGGUGAAAUGUGUUGAUAUCGGAAGGAACGCCGGUGGCGAAAGCGACACACUGGAUCUUGUCUGACGCUGAGGCACGAAAGCCAGGGGAGCGAACGGG